rnacentral:lncRNA from 1 species
CUGCUUACAAAUCGGGAAAAAGAACGGAUCUACACCGUAUCGUUUUGUGUUUAUUAUAUGUGUUUACUUUCUCACAGGUGGUUACCUGUGUAUUGGAGUUACUUUAAUAUUCUUUGUUUUGAAGGAUUUACUUUGUCUAAGCUUACUUGCUUGACUAUGUUAGUAAAACAUAACUAGGUAAGUUUAUGAAAUAAUUUUAAAUUCAAUUUAAAAGGUUAUUUGCUGUGCGGGUUUAUCUUGGCACCUCGUGGUGAAAUAUUUAUACAAGGCCAAGGGAAGUUAGCAUCUGUUUAUCUGUUAAAAACAAACUAUACCUUUACUUACAGGUUACAGUAUGCUGAAGUCUUUAAUAACGUAUUCCUUUCUAUUUUCUUAUCGAUUUAUCUUAUAAUGUCAUAUAUUUCUUUUUGAAAAUUUUAAAGAUUUCU